rnacentral:tRNA from 1 species
GCCGGGGUGGUGGAAUUUGGUAGACACAAGGGACUUAAAAUCCCUUGGAGCUAAGCUCCGUACGGGUUCGAUUCCCGUCCCCGGCA